rnacentral:rRNA from 1 species
UACAGAGGGUGCAAGCGUUAAUCGGAUUUACUGGGCGUAAAGCGUGUGUAGGUGGCCGCGUAAGUCGGUUGUGAAAUCCCUGGGCUCAACCCCGGGAAUUGCAGUCGAUACUGCGUGGCUGGAGUUCGGUAGAGGACGGCAGAAUUCCCGGUGUAGCGGUGAAAUGCGUAGAGAUCGGGAGGAAUACCGAUGGCGAAAGCAACCGUCUGGGCCUGAACUGACACUGAGACACGAAAGCGUGGGGAGCAAACAGG